AUUGAACGCUGGCGGCAGGCCUAACACAUGCAAGUCGAACGAGUGGCGGACGGGUGAGUAAUGUCUGGGAAACUGCCUGAUGGAGGGGGAUAACUACUGGAAACGGUAGCUAAUACCGCAUACCAUCGGAUGUGCCCAGAUGGGAUUAGCUAGUAGGUGGGGUAAAGGCUCACCUAGGCGACGAUCCCUAGCUGGUCUGAGAGGAUGACCAGCAACACGGGAACUGAGACACGGUCAAGACUCCUACGGGAGGCAGCAGUGGGGAAUAGGGGACAAUGGGCGCAAGCCUGAUGCAGCCAUGCCGCGUGUAGGAAGAAGGCCUGCGGGUUGUAAAGGACGUUAAGCGGGGAGGCGUUACCCGCAGAAGAAGCACCGGCUAACUCCGUGCCAGCAGCCGCGGUAAUUC
rnacentral:rRNA from 1 species